rnacentral:rRNA from 1 species
UUGAUUAUGGCUCAGAUUGAACGCUGGCGGCAGGCCUAACACAUGCAAGUCGAGCGGAUGAAGGGAGCUUGCUCCUGGAUUCAGCGGCGGACGGGUGAGUAAUGCCUAGGAAUCUGCCUGGUAGUGGGGGAUAACGUCCGGAAACGGGCGCUAAUACCGCAUACGUCCUGAGGGAGAAAGUGGGGGAUCUUCGGACCUCACGCUAUCAGAUGAGCCUAGGUCGGAUUAGCUAGUUGGUGGGGUAAAGGCCUACCAAGGCGACGAUCCGUAACUGGUCUGAGAGGAUGAUCAGUCACACUGGAACUGAGACACGGUCCAGACUCCUACGGGAGGCAGCAGUGGGGAAUAUUGGACAAUGGGCGAAAGCCAGAUCCAGCCAUGCCGCGUGUGUGAAGAAGGUCUUCGGAUUGUAAAGCACUUUAAGUUGGGAGGAAGGGCAGUAAGUUAAUACCUUGCUGUUUUGACGUUACCAACAGAAUAGGCACCGGCUAACUUCGUGCCAGCAGCCGCGGUAAUACGAAGGGUGCAAGCGUUAAUCGGAAUUACUGGGCGUAAAGCGCGCGUAGGUGGUUCAGCAAGUUGGAUGUGAAAUCCCCGGGCUCAACCUGGGAACUGCAUCCAAAACUACUGAGCUAGAGUACGGUAGAGGGUGGUGGAAUUUCCUGUGUAGCGGUGAAAUGCGUAGAUAUAGGAGGGAACACCAGUGGCGAAGGCGACCACCUGGACUGAUACUGACACUGAGGUGCGAAAGCGUGGGGAGCAAACAGGAGUAGAUACCCUGGCAGUCCACGCCGUAAACGAUGUCGACUAGCCGUUGGGAUCCUUGAGAUCUUAGUGGCGCAGCUAACGCGAUAAGUUCGACCGCCUGGGGAGUACGGCCGCAAGGUUAAAACUCAAAUGAAUUGACGGGGGCCCGCACAAGCGGUGGAGCAUGUGGUUAAUUCGAAGCAACGCGAAGAACCUUACCUGGCCUUGACAUGCAGAGAACUUUCCAGAGAUGGAUUGGUGCCUUCGGGAACUCUGACACAGGUGCUGCAUGGCUGUCGUCAGCUCGUGUCGUGAGAUGUUGGGUUAAGUCCCGUAACGAGCGCAACCCUUGUCCUUAGUUACCAGCACCUCGGGUGGGCACUCUAAGGAGACUGCCGGUGACAAACCGGAGGAAGGUGGGGAUGACGUCAAGUCAUCAUGGCCCUUACGGCCAGGGCUACACACGUGCUACAAUGGUCGGUACAAAGGGUUGCCAAGCCGCGAGGUGGAGCUAAUCCCAUAAAACCGAUCGUAGUCCGGAUCGCAGUCUGCAACUCGACUGCGUGAAGUCGGAAUCGCUAGUAAUCGUGAAUCAGAAUGUCACGGUGAAUACGUUCCCGGGCCUUGUACACACCGCCCGUCACACCAUGGGAGUGGGUUGCUCCAGAAGUAGCUAGUCUAACCGCAAGGGGGACGGUUACCACGGAGUGAUUCAUGACUGGGGUGAAGUCGUAACAAGGUAGCCG